GGGCGGUUAGCUCAGUUGGUAGAGUGCCUGUGUCACAUACAGGAGGUCACUGGUUCAAGUCCAGUACCGCCCACCA
rnacentral:tRNA from 1 species